rnacentral:rRNA from 1 species
ACGAACGCUGGCGGCGUGGAUUAGGCAUGCAAGUCGAGCGACGGACCUUCGGGUUACGGAGCGGCGAACGGGUGAGUAACACGUGAUCAACCUGUCCCUACAUUCCGGAUAAUUGGCCGAAAGGCCUUGUAAUACGGGCGAGGAUCUCCGGAAGGCAUCUUCUGGAGAGGGAACACGCAAGUGGUGCGGGGAGGGGAUCGCGUCCCAUCAGGUAGUUGGUGAGGUAACGGCCCACCAAGCCUACGACGGGUAGCUGGUCUGAGAGGAUGGUCAGCCACAUUGGAACUGAGACACUGUCCAGACUCCUACGGGAGGCUGCAGUCGAGAAUCUUGCACAAUGCACGAAAGUGUGAUGCAGCGACGCCGCGUGAAGGAUGAAGGCCCUUGGGUCGUAAACUUCUUUUAGAGGGGAAGAAUCAAUGACGGUACCCUCUGAAUAAGCCACGGCUAACUACGU